GAACGCCGUGUGCGAUGAAAGUCGUCCGCACGGUGUAGGCUCGAACGAAAAUCCUCAGAAAGAGAAGGGUAUAAGUCGAG
rnacentral:autocatalytically_spliced_intron from 2 species